UACGAAGGGGACUAGCGUUGUUCGGAAUUACUGGGCGUAAAGCGCACGUAGGCGGCUUUGUAAGUCAGGGGUGAAAUCUCGGGGCUCAACCUCGGAACUGCCUUUGAUACUGCAAAUCUCGAGUCCGAUAGAGGUGGGUGGAAUUCCUAGUGUAGAGGUGAAAUUCGUAGAUAUUAGGAAGAACACCGGUGGCGAAGGCGGCCCACUGGAUCGGUACUGACGCUGAGGUGCGAAAGCUAGGGGAGCAAACGGG
rnacentral:rRNA from 1 species